rnacentral:lncRNA from 1 species
CAUUUCCAGGGCGGAUGCAGUACCAACGUGGCCACCAUGCUCUUUUGGUAAAUAAGGAAGGCUCCAUCUUCUGCAGCAGGAAGAAGCCGUAUGCUGCUUGCCCGGAGGUAGAAGCUCUUCUCAGGGGGAAUUUAGCACCACUGGAGACAUUUCAUCAGGAAACCAUGACAUCAUCAUCAUCAUCAUCACCACCACCACCACCACCAGCAGCAGCAGCAGCAGCAGCAGCACUGACAUCUGUUGAAUAUCACAUCACUGCUAUUGACAUCUACUAAAUAUUACUGAAUUCCCCCUCUCAUCUAGGAGCUACAUGUAAAAUAUUUGAUUCUUAAGCCACGCAAUGAGGUAGGCAAUAUUUUUGCGUCUACUUCACCGGUGAGGAAUCAGAGACACAGAGAGUGUCUAAAGUCACACAUCUAAAAAGGAAACGCCAUACAAUGAAAUAUACUAUGCCUGAAAACUACAAAUCCUGUUCUUUUCUUUUGCUAGGUAUCUGUUUCUAAGAAGUGAUGGCUUGCAAUUAAAUCUGAUUAAUAGUCAACAGGCCUGCUGGGAGAAAGCAUGAAAGGGAAUGACUUUUGGGUUCUGUUAUUGAUAGUAAAUCCUGUAGAUUUUCCAGGUCCCUCUUGUCUACUGCUCCCUUUAUUUUCUUCUCAGUCUCCUAUUCUUUCUGCCCCCUAAAAACUGGAAAUGCAAAGUUGGAAGAAUGGAAUAGUGCAUCGGGCAGUGAGGCAAACCUAUUGCAGUUUUUCUCUGUUGUGAGGUUUAGCAUAGGCACAAUGUCAUCUCUCCUUAUUAUGUGCCAACGGAACAGUCACAGCCAACACUCCUGAAACAAAAGAUAGAUUAACAAGAGAAAUGCAGAACAUAUUAAGUUCAUCAAGGGAAACACGACACAGUAGCCUUCAGGCGUGAAGACCCAAGACCCAGGGAAAACUGUCUGCUUUUAUGUUAUGAAGAAUGGACAGUCAGGUAGAUAUGUGCUUUGACAAAAAGGGAGUGACAGUGGUAAUAGGCUCGGCUUCUUGGCUUCUCUGUGUGACAAUUCAUUCUUCC